GGACGCUUAGCUCAGUUGGGAGAGCAUCGCCCUUACAAGGCGAGGGGCACUGGUUCAAGUCCAGUAGCGUCCACCA
rnacentral:tRNA from 1 species